CUCAUCUCAUUCUCACACACUCCCGUGAGCUCCCUGUUCACAGAGAUUAAGGGCUGAUCACAGGCGCACAACCUCAUAAGCAUCCUGCAUACUACACUCCAUCUGAGUCUGCUUCCUAGGGAACUCAAGUUGCAACUGGAUUCAUAGGUCAUUGUUGACUUACCAGAAGGGCUGCGAGUUCCUUGGCUGACUCAGACCUUACUCCUCCUUCAGCAACACUGAUACCCGGCCCUUGACCUUGGGACUUGCUGCCACCAGCCACAAAGUUAUGAAAUGGAGGAAACAUAUCACCAGAAA